AGUGAACGCUGGCGGUAGGCCUAACACAUGCAAGUCGGACGACAGCACAGUAAGAGCUUGCUCUUACGGGUGGCGAGUGGCGGACGGGUGAGGAAUACAUCGGAAUCUACUUUUUCGUGGGGGAUAACGUAGGGAAACUUACGCUAAUACCGCAUACGACCUACGGGUGAAAGCAGGGGAUCUUCGGACCUUGCGCGAUUGAAUGAGCCGAUGUCGGAUUAGCUAGUUGGCGGGGUAAAGGCCCACCAAGGCGACGAUCCGUAGCUGGUCUGAGAGGAUGAUCAGCCACACUGGAACUGAGACACGGUCCAGACUCCUACGGGAGGCAGCAGUGGGGAAUAUUGGACAAUGGGCGCAAGCCUGAUCCAGCCAUACCGCGUGGGUGAAGAAGGCCUUCGGGCUGUAAAGCCCUUUUGUUGGGAAAGAAAAGCAGCAGGUUAAUACCCCGCUGUUCUGACGGUACCCAAAGAAUAAGCACCGGCUAACUUCGUG
rnacentral:rRNA from 1 species